CCAAAAUCUGAAUCGGAACGACACAUUGUUGAGACGCGAGGUAAACAUCCUUCCCAUUGGUCCGUCCUUCCCAUUGGUCCGUCCUUUGCCACCACCAAUUCUGACGUGUAGCGUUCCGCCAGUGGUUCCGGAUGUGGUUCCACAAGUCAUGUGUUGUUAGAGCCAGCUGUCGUGUUCUUGAAGUGGAGCAAACACCGCUGUUCAAGAGGUGACAUUCUGCCUUAUCAAGCGCUCAUGCGUUGCUAGUUAACUAUGUUUUUGUGGCAUUUACAGUGCUUAAAAUGCUGACACACUUGCCUCACAGCUAGCUAAAAUGGCUAGAUACUUCACAGAAGCUGUCAGUGCUAGCCAAAUGCAUUACGAGAGGUGACGUUAGCUAAAAGCGGAACUUCGGUCUACCGGUUCUUCACUGAAACUGGCACUCCGGUGUGACUCGUGGACCCAGUCCGAGUGGUUGCUGGCAGCCCCGUAUGUGCAGCGCAAGGAGAAAGAGAAUCGGACAGUUAAUGUUUGCCAAAUCAUCCAUGGAAAUCCGCUGCACAGCCCUGAUCCUCGACGCUUUGAUCUCCUUCACUCAAGGAAGUCUGGCGUGCCCUUCUUUGGAGUCAUUGGAAAACCUCCCUGGUCUUUGAAUCUGUGUUUGAAAUUCACUGCUGGACUGAGG
ensembl:lncRNA